GAUGAACGCUGGCGGCGUGCCUAAUACAUGCAAGUCGAGCGAACAGACGAGGAGCUUGCUCCUCUGACGUUAGCGGCGGACGGGUGAGUAACACGUGGAUAACCUACCUAUAAGACUGGGAUAACUUCGGGAAACCGGAGCUAAUACCGGAUAAUAUAUUGAACCGCAUGGUUCAAUAGUGAAAGACGGUUUUGCUGUCACUUAUAGAUGGAUCCGCGCCGCAUUAGCUAGUUGGUAAGGUAACGGCUUACCAAGGCAACGAUGCGUAGCCGACCUGAGAGGGGGACCGGCCACACUGGAACUGAGACCCGGUCCAGACUCCUCCGGGAGGCAGCAGGGGGGAAUCUUCCGCAAGGGGCGAAAGCCUGAGGGAGCAACGCCGCGUGGGUGAUGAAGGUCUUGGGAUCGAAAAACUCUUUUAUGAGGAAAAAAAAAAUGUGUAAGAAACUAUGCACGUCUUGACGGUACCUAAUCAGAAAGCCACGGCUAACUACGUG
rnacentral:rRNA from 1 species